GACGAACCGUGCGAACGUUAUUCGGAAUUAUUGGGCUUAAAGGGCGCGUAGGCGGCAAGACAAGUCGGGAGUGAAAGCCCAUCGGCUCAACCGUGGAACGGCUCCCGAUACUGUCUUGCUAGAGGAAGACAGGGGUCCGCGGAACUUCCGGUGGAGCGGUGAAAUGUGUUGAGAUCGGAAGGAACGCCAACGGCGAAGGCAGCGGACUGGAUCUUAUCUGACGCUGAGGCGCGAAAGCCAGGGGAGCAAACGGG
rnacentral:rRNA from 1 species